rnacentral:lncRNA from 1 species
UGGGGGCGGUGCCGGGGGAGGCUCCCGUCCCAGUGCCGGCCCCGCCGGUAACUCCGCCUGCCGUAUUUAUGGGAAAACAAGCAGCGGCAGAGCGUUGGGCCGUGUCGAGCCGUGCCGUGCCGUGCCGUGCAUCGCUGUGCCGUGCCGUGCUGGAUCGGGCGGAGCUGGGCCAUGGUCCCCUGGGCGGUGGCAUCCCCAGCCUAGCGCGGCGGCGGCGGCGGCGGCGGCUGGGGGAUGCGGCGAGAGCCGCCAGAGCGGCUGGCGCAGAGCAGCCCUGGGAUGGAGCCACCACAGGCCCCUUGGCCACCUCAGCCCACCCACCCCCUCACUGCUGCUGCUGGACCAGGUAGGACCCUGGGCUACAGUUCCCUGCCUACCAGCCACCCCGAUACCACAAGAAUGGGCUUCCCAAUCCCACUAUCACCAUUGCUGUGGCAUGGGGUGCUGCCUUGCCAGAUCCAGCCCAGCUCCCACAUACUGUAACAUGGAAGAGCAAAUACUGGGCCGCCUUUUUCGGGGCAAACCUGCCCUCCCAGCUUUGCAAGGAGGCACUGGGACCCCCAUCUCCUUUCUCAUGGCAUCUUGCUCUCCCCAGCCCAUCACAUGGACAGACACCACAAGGCCACUGGAGUCACCUCAGCUCUGGCAUCUGCACCCCCCCAGCUUUGGGGCAGGUAAUUAGGAGGAACCCAAGUCCCCUCCCCAUGUCUGCAUAGUCAAUGCUUCUUGCUAAAUAAAAUCAAUUCUUUUUCUCCA